CGGGGAUGACAACGCUUAACGGUGUAUAUGGCUAGUCUGGGGGACUAGGGGUCGGAGGUUCGAAUCCUCUCGCUCCGACCA
rnacentral:tRNA from 1 species